rnacentral:rRNA from 1 species
UGCAGUCGAACGAUGAACCACUUCGGUGGGGAUUAGUGGCGAACGGGUGAGUAACACGUGGGCAAUCUGCCCUGCACUCUGGGACAAGCCCUGGAAACGGGGUCUAAUACCGGAUACUGACCCUCGCAGGCAUCUGCGAGGUUCGAAAGCUCCGGCGGUGCAGGAUGAGCCCGCGGCCUAUCAGCUUGUUGGUGAGGUAAUGGCUCACCAAGGCGACGACGGGUAGCCGGCCUGAGAGGGCGACCGGCCACACUGGGACUGAGACACGGCCCAGACUCCUACGGGAGGCAGCAGUGGGGAAUAUUGCACAAUGGGCGAAAGUCUGAUGCAGCGACGCCGCGUGAGGGAUGACGGCCUUCGGGUUGUAAACCUCUUUCAGCAGGGAAGAAGCGAAAGUGACGGUACCUGCAGAAGAAGCGCCGGCUAACUACGUGCCAGCAGCCGCGGUAAUACGUAGGGCGCAAGCGUUGUCCGGAAUUAUUGGGGCGUAAAGAGCUCGUAGGCGGCUUGUCGCGUC